GACGUAGGGCGCGAGCGUUGUCCGGAUUUAUUGGGCGUAAAGAGCUCGUAGGCGGCUUGUCGCGUCGAAUGUGAAAACUCGGGGCUCAACCCCGCGCUUGCAUUCGAUACGGGCAGGCUCGAGUUCGGUAGGGGAGACUGGAAUUCCUGGUGUAGCGGUGAAAUGCGCAGAUAUCAGGAGGAACACCGGUGGCGAAGGCGGGACUCUGGGCCGAUACUGACGCUGAGGAGCGAAAGCGUGGGGAGCAAACAGG
rnacentral:rRNA from 1 species